AUGAGGAUCGGUGACGCGCACAGGGGUAGUUCGGAGGAGAACUCUAUUAACAAGGCAAAAUCUUUACGAAGUUGGCCAUCAUCACAUAAUCUUUGUUCAUCUACGAAGGCGAGGGAAACCUCCUCUGGAGUCAGGAGACGUAGUACAACAACACAAAAACGUGGCAGAAACACUACUUUGCUCCGCCUCACAUCAAGACAAGAGGACACUGCCUGAAAUUGUUCUAGGGGAGGUUUAGCUUGGAUAUAAGUAAGCAGAAGGUAACAGUAAAUGGUUUCCUCUUCCAGUGGUGUUUCAUGGGAAUCUGACCUGGGCAGUUUGAGUAGGUAAAGAGCACCAAAGUGUGAAACCUUGGUGGUGAUAUUAAGUCGUGGAAAAAUACUAAGAACAAGCGUCAGCUGUGAAAAAAAUUGAAAGACCUUAUAAGGCUGCCCAAGCAAUAACAUGGCAAAUGUUAGACAGAGAGGGAUGUCCAGGAACAGAAGGAAACAUCAUUCCACUUAGAAGACGGACUGUGAGCUCACAGUUACUUCUUGGGAGAGGGAUUUUGGCGUUAGGACAAAUGAGACUCAAGUCAUGGGACUGGACUUCAUGAAUAUUCAUAGAGCUUCCUGGUGCUUACUGGCCAAAAACAGAUGCCUAGGGAAGAGAUUCGAUAUGAAGUGUAAGCACAUGGAAAUCCUUUCCUCUGCUGUUGUACCAGCCUCCAAUAAUUCAAAAUUUAAGGUCUUCCCUGAUGAGAAGUUCAAACUUAUGGUGGGUUUUUAGUGUCCUCUUAACCAGGACAUAGCAGUAGGAUGUGUGAUGUGAUCCAUUUGAGUGAGGAGUUAGAUUUUGGCAUAUGUGUCUUUGUAAUAUGUGUAAUGGCAAGAUAAGUAUCAGAAAGGAUAGAAGGAAGAGAGAGCAAUCCUAACUGUUGCAGAGCUAACCUACAGUUCUUGUCUAAAGAAAUGAAAAUUGUUGAACUGUGAGCUGUUUUCUUAUAGUUACUCAUUCACAAAUGUACUUUGAUGCAAUCAUGCCACUGUGAGAGUUUUAUGGGAUGAAAAUAGGUUAAGCAAUCUGUUGUUGUGUUUCCAAGGAGCACUUUGACACGUCUGUGUACGUUCUGAAGAGGAGGGUUUAGCAUUUUAAUGACCCAACUUCACGCAUCGAAUGUAAUAUGUCAUUGUGAACAGUUGUGUAAUUAUAAACAGUUUCCAUCUAAAAAAAACAA
rnacentral:lncRNA from 1 species